AGUCUGGUGCCAGCAGCCGCGGUAAUUCCAGCUCUAAUAGCGUAUAUUAAAGUUGUUGCAGUUAAAAAGCUCGUAGUUGGAUUUCGGCGUGCGCUCAGGCUGGUCGGCCGUCAAGGUCUGUACCGUUUGGGUCACGCCCCACUGUAGGAUACUCACCGCUGUCCUUAACUGGGUGGCGGUCAAAGGGGGUGUGCAUGGGGGCAACUCUGUGCAUAUCUCUGGGGUUCCUACUCUUUUACUUUGAGCAAAUUAGAGUGUUCAAAGCAGGCAAUCGAGCCUUGAAUACUUCAGCAUGGGAUAAUGGAACAGGACUGGGGUCCUGAUUUCGUUGGUUUCUGGGAUCUCAGUAAUGAUUAAUAGGGAUAGUUGGGGGCAUUAGUAUUUAAUUGUCAGAGGUGAAAUUCUUGGAUUUAUGAAAGACUAACUUCUGCGAAAGCAUUUGCCAAGGAUGUUUUCAUUAAUCAAGAACGAAAGUUAGGGGAUCGAAGACGAUCAGAUACCGUCGUAGUCUUAACCAUAAACGAUGCCGACCAGCGAUUGGGAGACGUUACAUGGAUGACUCCCCCAGCAGCUUGCGAGAAAUCACAAGUCUUUGGGUUCCGGGGGGAGUAUGGUCGCAAGGCUGAAACUUAAAGGAAUUGACGGAAGGGCACCACCAGGAGUGGAGCCUGCGGCUUAAUUUGACCCAACACGGGGAAACUUACCAGGUCCAGACAUAGUAAGGAUUGACAGAUUUGAGAGCUCUUUCUUGAUUCUAUGGGUGGUGGUGCAUGGCCGUUCUUAGUUGGUGGAGUGAUUUGCCUGGUUAAUUCCGUUAACGAACGAGACCUUAACCUGCUAAAUAUGUCACUGGUAGACUUCUGCCAAAACAGGUGGGUGUCUAGGGGAAAGUUUCGAUGGACUCCGACGCAUUCAUCUGUGGAUGACUACCAGGAUGUACUUCUUAGAGGGACUAUCUGUAUCAAAGCAGAUGGAAGUUUGAGGCAAUAACAGGUCUGUGAUGCCCUUAGAUGUUCUGGGCCGCACGCGCGCUACACUGACAAGUUCAACGAGUUUAACACCUUGCUCGAUAGGGCUGGGUAAUCUUUGAAAAACUUGUCGUGAUGGGGAUAGAUCAUUGUAAUUAUUGGUCUUCAACGAGGAAUUCCUAGUAAGCGUGAGUCAUCAGCUCGCGUUGAUUACGUCCCUGCCCUUUGUACACACCGCCCGUCGCUCCUACCGAUUGAAUGAUCCGGUGAAAUGUUGGGAGCUGGGGUCUUUUGGCGGCGGGGCAACUCGUCGUCAGGGAUUCUGCAAACUUCAUUAAACCUUAUCAUUUAGA
rnacentral:rRNA from 1 species